CUGCCCCACCUAAAUUAACGGUAAGGAGCCACUACUGGUGGUGUGUUUUCUCACAUUUGCAAUGAUCUUGUGUACUGGCAACGCAUUUUCUAGAUAAACUGAACACUUCAUGUCUCUUUUCGGUUGAGACGUGCAGCACAGCCACCUUGAAACUUGAGGAAGGAUCCGAAAGAUACAGACAACACAUCCUGAAAGACAAGACCAGAACUGCAGUCUUUGGACUGCUGAACAAAAGAUCAGACUCACAGGAGUAUUCUUGUGUUACAGGAAUCGGCACCAUAUACAGAUCUUGUGAACUGGAAUACAGACUUUAAGAGACAGAAGCAGCCAAAAGUCAAGUCAACUUUUUUUUUUUUACUGCACUUUUUACAAUACUGAUUGUUUCAAAACAGCUUUACUGUGUUAAAACAGAAAAUUGUUUGUCAAUAAUGCAAGGGGUCAAUAGUGUCCGGGAAACGGCAUCAAAUCUUCCCUCAAAAACAUCUAGAGAUCGAGCUCUUCUAAAGCAAGUACAUACAUUUCUGUCUGAAUCUAAAGUUUUCAGCUCUUUUCCAUUGAGCCUUUUGUUACUUCCAUUGGAGGAGUUGAUUGAAAGGGAAUUAUUUAUAUGCCCGUGUCGAUCUGAUCUUAAUAAACUGGUAACAUCUUUCAUUUUAAUUGGACCUGCACUUUUUAUGUGUGCUUUAAUGUAUUUCCUUUUAAGACCUUUUAGACUUACGUGUUGCUGUGCAAGUAAGUGUAUCAAGAAGAACAAGAAUGAAAAUAAUUGUUUCAAUGCUUUUUUAUCUUGUCUGAUUCCACCUGUAAUGUGGAUCGUCUUAUUUUUACUUGAUGGUGAUUAUUUUGCUUGUGGAAUGACAGACUGGAGUGGAGUUUAUAAGUUUGAUAAUCAGCUCAAAAGGUCUUGGUGUAAACCUACUGAAGAGACACGAAAUGAAACAAUUCUACAAGAUAUGACGCGCACAUAUAUUCAUUGGUCUCAGUUAUCAGGUUAUGCCGUGCUCUCUAUCUUCAGCGCACUGGUCAUUGUCUUCGUGGGUAUUUAUGACUGCUGCUGGAAACUGUUUUGCAAACCUCAAGAACAGACUGAACACACAGAAUCUGCAUCACCUAAUGCUUAAUGCUUAAUGUCCCCUCCACUCCAACU